AUGAUUAUACUGCUGUACGAUGGUUUAGGGUACUCACACCGUUACUACACGAGGUCUCUUUUCCCUCUUCUUUCCAGCUCCUGGAUACUUCUCCUGCUGCCACGUGCCCUGUCGAAAAGGCCUCCUUCGGCGAUACUUCCGGUGAGUCUUCCUGUUUUCAACCACUCAGCCCGGUGUCUGUUUCUGCCAAACCCUUGUCUCCGUCUUUGCCCAGCCAACAAUAUCCUCUGCCUUCUUUCCUCUGUACUCGCCCAAACACUCCAACUCUCUCGCCGUAUCGGCUGAAAUAAAACAAAGAACUUUCCCCCUCCUCUGCAGUUUCUGAGGCCCUCUUUAUACUCCUCCUUCUCUUCAUACUGCCCAAUCCACGAUCGCCCCGUUCAUCUAUCCACCUGCGAUCAAUAAAACCCUGAUUUCCCUUCCCGGAGUUCCCGGUGUCUGAGAAUUAUGGUCCGGGCGAAACCAAUCUCCGUCAUUUUUUAGUUCCGCCCUUACAAAGUCACUCCGUGACAUCUGCAUAUACCGAAAGGUAUGUUACUAAUGUAAUGAAAUUAUCUAAAAUGUAUAUUUUUGUUUCUACCAAUAAAUUUAGAGAUAUACAUGUUUAUAAUUCCUUUU
ensembl:lncRNA